rnacentral:snRNA from 1 species
AUACUUACCUGGCAGGGGAGAUGCCAUGAUCAAGAAGGUGGUUGUCCCAGGGUGAGGUUUAUCCAUUGCACUCCGGAUGUGCUGACCCCUGCGAUUUCCCCAAAUGUGGGAAACUUGACUGCAUAAUUUGUAGUAGUGAGGGACUGAGUUUGCGCUUACCCCUG